rnacentral:rRNA from 1 species
GAUGAACGCUGGCGGCGUGCCUAAUACAUGCAAGUCGAGCGAACGGACGAGAAGCUUGCUUCUCUGAUGUUAGCGGCGGACGGGUGAGUAACACGUGGAUAACCUACCUAUAAGACUGGGAUAACUUCGGGUAACCGUAGCUAAUACCGGAUAAUAUUUUGAACCGCAUGGUUCAAAAGUGAAAGACGGUCUUGCUGUCACUUAUAGAUGGAUCCGCGCUGCAUUAGCUAGUUGGUAAGGUAACGGCUUACCAAGGCAACGAUGCAUAGCCGACCUGAGAGGGUGAUCGGCCACACUGGAACUGAGACACGGUCCAGACUCCUACGGGAGGCAGCAGUAGGGAAUCUUCCGCAAAGGGCGAAAGCCUGACGGAGCAACGCCGCGUGAGUGAUGAAGGUCUUCGGAUCGUAAAACUCUGUUAUUAGGGAAGAACAUAUGUGUAAGUAACUGUGCACAUCUUGACGGUACCUAAUCAGAAAGCCACGGCUAACUACGUG